rnacentral:snRNA from 1 species
GUGCUCUCUUCGGCAGCACAUAUAUUAAAAUUGGAACAAUACAGAGAAGAUUAGAAUGGCCCCUGCGCAAGGAUGACACGCAAAUCGUGAAGCGUUCUGUAUUUUU